GCAAGUGGGAGCCCUGCUCAGAUGAGCCAGCCUCCCCAGCUCUGAAGGCAGGCAGCCAGGCAGCCAGCCUCUGAGUUUCCUGUGGUGGCCUCCGAGCUGGUGACCUGUAUGGCAGACUGAGGACCUGGGAUGCAUCCAGCUGCCAGCUCGACUUCCUCUGGACUGCUCCCUACCCUGAGCCCCGCAGACUCGGAGCUCAAGUGGAUGACAUCUUGUGCUCCCAGAGGUACAGGAGGCCGGAAAUGAGAGCACAGGCAGCCAGGUCCCUGCAAGGAGCAGCUCAAGUAGAAUCGGGGAAGGUCCCCGAAUGGGAAAUGAAUCAUGAAAACCACGAAGACCUCCAGCAAGCAGACAUGCCUGGGUUCCAGUGAGCUGCCCAUUCUGCUGCCCUCCGAGUUCACAGGUGAGGGAGAGUCAGCUCCGAGAGGAUACUUGGGCAACUACAGGGAUGCGACGAAGCAGGAUCUGAACCCAGACCCCUUGAUCUCCAGCCCUCAGGCAGCUGUUUCUAUUUGUGGGACCCAUGAGGAACACAGGAGCCACUGAAGGAGGGGUUCAUCUGAAGGCGAGUGAGUCAGCCUGUGCUAGAAGACUGGGAUGGGGCUAGCCAAGUUCACCUGUAACUCCAGCACUUGGGAGGCGGAGGCAAGAGAAGCCCUGUGAAUCUGCGGCCAGUCUGGGCUACGUGGUGAGGCUUUCCCAGCUACACAUGGGAACUAACAACAGCGGCCAUCAUGGGUUAUUCUGAGGAGUAGUUGGCUCAUCACAAGGCACUGAACAUCAUCUAGCCAUAGGUAAGCGCUCAGUACACAAGCGAUGUGU
ensembl:processed_transcript 4631405J19Rik RIKEN cDNA 4631405J19 gene